rnacentral:rRNA from 1 species
GACGAACCGUGCGAACGUUGUUCGGAUUCACUGGGCGUAAAGGGUGCGCAGGUGGUUUGGCAAGUUUGACGUGAAAGCCCCGGGCUUAACCCGGGAAUGGCGUUGAAAACUGCUUGAACUGGAGGGUCGGAGGGGGGACUGGAAUUCUUGGUGUAGCAGUGAAAUGCGUAGAUAUCAAGAGGAACACCAGUGGCGAAGGCGAGUCCCUGGACGAUACCUGACACUGAGGCACGAAAGCCAAGGGAGCAAACAGG